rnacentral:lncRNA from 1 species
AGCUGAAGCAACGCGGCCGGGCCUACUCCGCCCUCCUCGCCGUGACGAAUCGGCGCCCGGCUGGGACGGGACCCAAACUGGAAGAGUUCUGAGGAGAGUGUGGAGCCUGGAAAAAAAAAUCCUCGGCUGCACUAAGCCUCGCCGAGUCCUCCCUGGAAGACCCGAUCGCCUGAGGAGAGCCGGCCGCGGCCCGCGGAGAAAUCCCGGAGCGUGUGGAAAGUGCGAGCGCGGAAGCUCCGGCGCGAGGGGCGGGGCGAGCGCGGGACAAAGGGAAGCGAAGCCGGAGCUGCGGGCGCCUUUUCGGCCCGCGGAAAGACCAUCUUAUGCCCCACCUCCCACCCCAGCUCCUGCAACAGUAAGUUUUAAUUUUCUUGUUAAUGUAAUAGCCAAGUCUGGCCUUGAUACAAAAACCCAGAUGUCUUCCAGUGACAGUCACUCAGUCAUCACAGCCACAAGAUAGCAAAUUCAGCUAAAAAUCAGCACUUCCUACUAAAUAAAAUAAUUCUUUUCGUCCUACUUUGAACCAAACCUAACAUCUAAAAAUACAUAUUAUGAGCUUCCAACCUCCUGUGCUCUGUUUUUCCCUAAUGGGAAAUGAGUGAAACACUUCUUUCUAGUUUUUCCUGUUAAAAGAGUCUUUAAGUUGAUUGAGUAAAUGCUCAUUCUGGCAUUAUUUAUUCUUUUGUUGUUGUUGUUUUUAAACCUAACCUUCAACUGGUUACAUUUUUCUCUCUAAGGGCUAGGGACAUAGCUGAGUGUCAGAGCACUUGCCUAGCAUGUGCAAGGCCCAGGUUGGAACCCCAACAACACAAAUUUUUUAAUUAAACUUUCUUGUCUAUCUAUAAAAUUUUCACAUUAAUUAAAGUUUCUAUUUCUGCAGAUAACUACACUCAUCAUAAAUCUUAUUUUCAAGCUGUUCAAGUUAGGAUUUCAUUACCCGUGGGUCAGAACUUGCUACUGAAUUUUGUUCUUUUCCAUAAAUUAUAAAAAUUGGCCCACUGAUCUGUUUCCAAAUGUCUAAUGGUGGGAACUGUUUUCACCCAGCAAGCUCUAGCCUAGCUUGAUCAGCAUGUAAAAUAAUCGUCGAGGACACAAUUCAGAUUUAAUAGCAACUGUACAGGCCCUUGUUGAAAUGCUAAAAAACCACUUAAGAUACCCUACAAAAUCAGAAUCAGGGUUAUUUUUUAUUUAUUUUGUUUUGUUUUGAGACAGGGUCUCUAUGUAGCCCAGGCUGGCCUCGAAAUGGUGAUCCUUCUGCCUCGGCCUCCCAAGUGCUGGGAUUAUCAGCAUGCCCAGCCCAAAAUUAGUUCUUUAAUAUCUGCUAGCUCUUCCUCCCAUGCCCUCCUACCAACUAAUUUCAGGCUAGUCUCCUUUUAUUACUAAUGAGUUCCUGUGUCAUUUUGUUUUCUCCACUAGGUAAUUAGUCUGAUUUACUAACCUGUAGGUGAAUGUUUUAGUUACAUUUAUCAGCAAUUUGUUUUUCCUUAGAUGCUCUUUUUAAAAAGCGUAUCAUACAUUCUUACAUUCACUUCAUGUAAUACACAGUCUGUAAAAUUGCUUCCGGUAGACUGUAAAAUCUUGUACUUCAUUAUUUUCUUAAAGAGUAUUUCUUAUUACCAUCUCCAUCACAUACUCAUGGUUGUGUACAGAUUGAGUGAUUGAGAGCCUCCCCUCAAAGAUGUAACUAGGCCCCUCACCUUUAGAAAUCAUAUAAUUAGAAGAUGAUUGUUUCAUUUUUUUAAUUCCCCCAUUUGCUUACAUUAUUGCUUCAUAUUGUAGUGUCUGAAGUAUCAUUUUUAUAUAAAUACUGCCUCAAGUAGUGUAUAAUGAACAAAUUUGCUAUUAUUGAGAUAAAGACAUUUUAAAAACCAGGAUCCCCUUCUGAGUUUUCAUACAAAGAAGGGGAUUUUUUAAUCCCUCAUACCAUAAUUUCACAUUUUCACUCAAAAUUCAGAAACUAGGGAUUAUAACAUUAGCAGAAUGGUUACGAAAUGAGUUAGUC